rnacentral:lncRNA from 1 species
UGCCUUGUUCCACUCCAGGGACCUGGCAAGGAACCCUGAAAGUGCCCUUAGUUCUGUGUGUGUUCUGGGAUCCAAGUGAGGCUUUGAGCAAACGUGCCCAAGAAACCACCUUGAAAACCCAUUGGUGGCUGCAGAGUCGCACUGCCGGCUGCGCUGCGCCCAUGAUGAGCUCGAGUGCUCCGCAGGACCUGCGGCCACGUCUGCCUGAUGGGGCUGAUCGAAGAGCGCGGAGAGGGGCAGCCCCAGCAUGACAGCGACCAGGGGGACGAGGAGGAGCCGCAGCAGAGGAGCCGGCAACCGGAGCUUCCCUCCUGCAGGAGCACCAAUGCUGCACACAGCAGUCGUAAAUCCUCGCCCGGCAAUGACUUAAUCGAGAUGCCUACUUCUGAAAUGCACUAAUUAAACUUCAGAAUAAACCACCCUGGGCACAAGCGCC